rnacentral:rRNA from 1 species
ACGCUGGCGGCGUGCUUAACACAUGCAAGUCGAACGAAGAGCGAUGGAAGCUUGCUUCUAUCAAUCUUAGUGGCGAACGGGUGAGUAACGCGUAAUCAACCUGCCCUUCAGAGGGGGACAACAGUUGGAAACGACUGCUAAUACCGCAUACGAUCUGACCUCGGCAUCGAGGAUAGAUGAAAGGUGGCCUCUAUUUAUAAGCUAUCACUGAAGGAGGGGAUUGCGUCUGAUUAGCUAGUUGGAGGGGUAACGGCCCACCAAGGCGAUGAUCAGUGGCCGGUCUGAGAGGAUGAACGGCCACAUUGGGACUGAGACACGGCCCAGACCCCUACGGGAGGCAGCAGUGGGGAAUCUUCCGCAAUGGACGAAAGUCUGACGGAGCAACGCCGCGUGAGUGAUGACGGCCUUCGGGUUGUAAAGCUCUGUUAAUCGGGACGAAAGGCCUUCUUGCGAAUAGUUAGAAGGAUUGACGGUACCGGAAUAGAAAGCCACGGCUAACUACGUGCCAGCAGCCGCGGUAAUACGUAGGUGGCAAGCGUUGUCCGGAAUUAUUGGGCGUAAAGCGCGCGCAGGCGGAUUGGUCAGUCUGUCUUAAAAGUUCGGGGCUUAACCCCGUGAUGGGAUGGAAACUGCCAAUCUAGAGUAUCGGAGAGGAAAGUGGAAUUCCUAGUGUAGCGGUGAAAUGCGUAGAUAUUAGGAAGAACACCAGCGGCGAAGGCGACUUUCUGGACGAAAACUGACGCUGAGGCGCGAAAGCCAGGGGAGCGAACGGGAUUAGAUACCCCGGUAGUCCUGGCCGUAAACGAUGGGUACUAGGUGUAGGAGGUAUCGACCCCUUCUGUGCCGGAGUUAACGCAAUAAGUACCCCGCCUGGGGAGUACGACCGCAAGGUUGAAACUCAAAGGAAUUG